GGGCAGGAUAUGUGAAGUAGGCCCACCCGCAGGCGGGUUGUCCUUCUUCACGAAGCCCUUAUUCGCACUACGUGCUCAACGGACAUCCUGCUCUGGGGGUGU
rfam:Environmental sequence ctg16293, whole genome shotgun sequence.